rnacentral:rRNA from 1 species
AUGUUUGUAGAGCGAAGCCCACCAAUUGAGGAAGUGAUCAACACAGGCAUGGUGCCUUGUUUCAUUGAGUUCCUCACACCGGAGGACUAUCCCUAACUCCAGUUUGAGGCUGCAUGGGCACUCACCAACAUUGCGUCAGGCACAUUAGACAACACCAAAGUGGUGGUUGAGUACGGUGCUGUGCCCAUCUUUGUCAAGCUACUCAGCUCUCCUAGUGAGGAUGUCCGCGAACAGGCAUGA